rfam:Triticum aestivum genome assembly, contig: Triticum_aestivum_CS42_TGACv1_scaffold_543197_6DS
UACGAAUGAUGAUAAAAUCAAGGUUUGUUUCUCGAACAUUCGUAGUUGCCGCCUAAGAGCUUUCGCGCAGCCGGGCUUGAGAGCUAAUGUUGUUUGAUCAUUCCUUGGAUGCCUGAUCCA